rnacentral:rRNA from 1 species
UACGGGGGGAGCAAGCGUUGUUCGGAUUUACUGGGCGUAAAGGGCGCGUAGGCGGUCGUGACAAGUCACUUGUGAAAUCUCCGGGCUUAACUCGGAACGGUCAAGUGAUACUGUCGGACUAGAGUGCAGAAGGGGCAAUCGGAAUUCUUGGUGUAGCGGUGAAAUGCGUAGAUAUCAAGAGGAACACCUGAGGUGAAGACGGGUUGCUGGGCUGACACUGACGCUGAGGCGCGAAAGCCAGGGGAGCAAACGGG